rnacentral:rRNA from 1 species
CGGGAAUAUUGCACAAUGGACGAAAGUCUGAUGCAGCAACGCCGCGUGCGCGAUGAAGGCCUUCGGGUCGUAAAGCGCUUUUCGGGUGGAUGAGGCAGGACAGUACACCCGGAAUCAGGAACGGCCAACUACGUGCCAGCAGCCGCGGUAAAACGUAGGUUCCGAGCGUUAUCCGGAUUUACUGGGCGUAAAGCGCGUUCAGGCGGUUUGGCAAGUCGGGCAUGAAAUCCUUCGGCUCAACCGGGGGAGGUUGUCCGAUACUGCUGAACUGGAGGGCAGUAGAGGGUGGUGGAAUUCCGGGUGUAGUGGUGAAAUGCGUAGAGAUCUGGAGGAACACCAGUGGCGAAAGCGGCCACCUGGACUGCACCUGACGCUGAAACGCGAAAGCUAGGGGAGCGAAC